rnacentral:lncRNA from 1 species
UUGAGAAUGUUAAGGCUAAGUAUUCAAUGGAUAUGAUAAUGCAUUUUGGAAACUAUUUGUCUUCCUCAAUAUAAGAAACCAGGAGAGAAAUAAAAAUAAGAGAGUCUUAUUGGUGAAAACCUUCACAGGCAUCAUAAGGUGGUGGUAAGUUGAGAGAUUCUUAUUGGUGAAAACUAUCACGAGCACCGUAAGAUGACUGUGAGUUGAGAGAAAUGAAAACAAGAGAGUCUCAUUGGUGAAAACCUUCACGAACACCAUAGGGUAAUGGUGAACUGAGAGAAAGAAAAUCAGAGAGUCUUGUUGGCGAAAACCUUUCAAGGUGUCACUAGCCGAAUGACAUCUAUAAGUGCAGUUGACCUAAGAAAGCAACUUGGUUUCAAGGUCAUUAUCUUAACAACAAUUGGUAGAAGUUUGGAUAAAAAGAUCAGGCAGCGUAAUAAAAAAUGCAUGUCAUAAUCAUUAGAGUUGGUUGUCGUUGUCAAACAAAUUUUUCUUUUCUCUAUUUCAAUGGGGACAUUCAUUGUCUUUUCUUUCUGCUCUAUAUUUCUAUUUUUAUUUUCUUGAGUUAGUUAUUCAAAUAGAAAGUCAUUUUUCUUGUGUUUUUGAGUCAAAUAAAUGUCAAAGUAAGUGAGAAAAUAUUUCAAAAUCGGCUACCAACUUCUUCAAUUGCACAAAGCAAUACAAAAAGUACUGAUUGUGAGCCGAAAUAAGGCAUGCAGAAAGUUUUGUCAAUGGAUAAGUCUGGGAACUCAUAGAAAUACCAAGGUUCAAAGGAUGUGUCUGAGAAAUAUAGCAACAACAGAGAUACUGUGUUUGUGUCAGAGUUACUCUUAGUGAUUCGGGUUUAGAUCAAUGCUACAGCAAGUCAAUAAAAAUGACAAUGGUUGGAAGCAAGAUUGAAUGUGACCAGCGCAAGAGCAAUUGCCUCAAAAGCCGAAGCCACAAACCAGCCACUAUGUUUUAAACUCACAAGUUUUUUUUAUGAAACAAGAAACAUGUUACCUUCAAAUCAAGGACUUCAACGCCUAAACAUCAAAGGCCGUAAUUUCUCAAAUCUACAAAUGCAAGGGGGCAAUAGUGCUGCACAGGUUUGGUAAUCAAAACCAUGGUAAAACUUAUAAUUUGAUAUUUCUAGAAGACACACUUCCUUGUCUAGGUAAUUAAGGUUUAUUUAUUAGAUGAUGCACUUCCUAAAUUGAACCUUUACUCCUGGAAGUCACACUUUCUAGUUGAGUCCUUCCAUUUAAUCUUAAGGAGAAGCAUUUCCUUGUCUGAAUAAUUUAAGCAACAUUGGUAAGGAGAUGCAAUUUCUAGUUUGGGUAAUUUAAGCGGCAUUUUUAAGGAGACGCACUUCUUUGUUUGGGUAAUUCAAGUGGCAUUUGUAAGGAGACACACUUCCUUGUUUGGGUAAUUCAAGCGACAUUUAUAAGGAGACGCACUUCCUUGUUUGGGUAAUUUAAGUAGCAUUUACAAGGAGACGCACUUCCUUGUUUGGGUAAUUCAAGCGGCAUUUGUAAGGAGAUGCAGUUCCUUGUUUGGAUAAUUCAAGCGGCAUUUGUAAGGAAACGCACUUCCUUGUUUGGAUAAUUUGAGUGGUAUUUGUAAGGAUACAAACUUCCUUGUUUGGGUAAUUCAAGUGGCAUUUGUAAGUAGAAGCACUUCCUUAUUUGCGUAAUUCAAGCGACAUUUAUAAGGAGACACACUUCCUUGUUUGGGUAAUCCAAGCGGCAUUUGCAAGGAGAUGCACUUCCUUGUUUGGGUAAUUUAAGCGGCAUUUGUAAGGAAACGUGCUUCCUUGUGUGGGUAAUUCAAGUGGCAUUUGUAAGGAGAUGCACUUCCUUAUUUAGGUAAUUCAAGCAGCAUUGGUAAGGAGACGCACUUCCUUAUUUUGGUAAUUCAAGCGGCAUUGGUAAGAAGACGCACUUCCUUGGAUGGGUAAUUCAAAUUUUACUUGCUAGGUGAUGUACUUUCUAACUUAAUUCUUGACUCCUAGAAAAUAAACUUUCUAGUCGAGUCAUUUUCUUUGACUCCUAAAAGAUGUACCUUUUAGUCGAGUCAUUCCCCUUGAUUCCUAGAAGAUGUACUUUCUGGUCGAGUCAUUCCCUUUGACUCCUAGAAGAUGUACCUUCAAGCCGAGUCAUUCCUCUCGAUUCCUAAAAGAUAUAAUUUUUAGUUGAAUCAUUCCCUUUGACUCUUAGAAGAUGUAAUUUUUAGUCGAGUCAUUCCCCUUGACUCUUAGAAAAUAUACUUUCUAGUCGAGUCAUUCCCCUUGACUCCUAGAAGAUGUACUUUCUAUUCGAGUCAUUCCCUUUGACUCCUAGAAGAUGUACCUUCUCGUCGAGUCAUUCUUAUUGACUCCUAGAAAAUAUACUUUCUAGUCGAGUCAUUCACCUUGACUCCUAGAAGAUGUACUUUCUAGUCGAGUCAUUCCCCUUGACUCCUAGAAGAUGUACUUUCUAGUCGAGUCAUUCCCCUUGAAUCCUAGAAAAUAUACUUUCUAGUCGAGUCAAUCCCUUUGACUCCUAAAAGAUGUACUUUCUAGUCGAGUCAUUCCCUUUGAUUACAAAAGUUGUACUUUCUAGUCAAGUCAUUCCCUUUGACUCCUAGAAGAUGUACCCCCUAGUGGAGUCAUUCCCCUUGAUUCCUAGAAAAUAUACCUUCUAGUCGAGUUAUUCCCCUUGACUCCUAAAAAAUAUACUUUCUAGUUGAGUCAUUUCCCUUGACACCUAGAAGAUGCACUUUCUAGUCGAGUCAUUCCCUUUGACUCCUUGAAGAUGUACUUUAUAGUCGAUUCAUUCCCCUUGAUUCCUAAAAGAUACACUUUCUAGUCAAAUCAUUCCAAUUAACCCAUAGAAGAUGCAUUUCCUUAUUUGGAUUUUUCAAGUAGUUAUGAUGUGACUUUCACAAAAGUCCUUUGAUGAUAAACUGGGGCAAAAAUUUAAUUCAUGUUGUUUGGAAAUUUAUUUUUUUUGGCAAAUGGAAUCUCUCUUUAUAAUAAUCUUUGUUUGAAAUAAUUUUCUUUCAAGUGUUGAUCUAAUUUCAGGAGCCCUCUUGGAGAACAUGGUGAAGAAAUGAAAAGUCAAGCAAUAAGGUGAAGAUGUUGAAAGUCAAGCAACAAGAUGAAGAAAUUGAAAGUCAACAGAUUGAAGAAAUAGCAAGUCAGGAUCCCACCUGGAGAACAGGGUGAAGAAAUUGAAAGUCAAGUAACAAGGUGAUGAAAUUGCAAGUCAGGAGUCCGCCUGGAGAAUAGAGUGAUGAAAUAGCAAGUCAAGUGCCAAGAAAAGUUACAUAGCUAGGACUUUUGUAAUUUUUUUUAUAUUUUUAACUUGUAAUUUUUUUCAUUUUUGAUAUAAUGAUAGAGCUGCGGAUUGGAACCUCGGCAGGGCCUCUCCAACUCGGUAUGGUCCCUCGCCUUCUAACCCUUUGAAAUAAGUGUGACUCGAUCCCCCCAUAAUCUGGGUAAGUAGGAUGUCCAAAAUUAAGAAUCGGUUCCAUUCCUUCCUUCUGUUUUCUUUUUUCGAAUAAUGGUCGGGCAAAAUUUGAUCUCGAUGUCUACUUCUUUGUCUGAAAACACUUUGUGAGUGGCAUGAUGUGGACAUGUAAUCUUAUCCCUCCCUAAAUUUAUUAUUUUACCAUUUUUUACCCCGUCUUACUACGUACCUUCACCCAUGUGAUAAGUUCCAUACAAUAACAAAUCCAACAAAUUCUUAACAACUUUUAACACCUCAUCUUAACAAAAUUAACAACCUACCAUAACAAUUUUGACAUAUCACACCCCUCAUCCUACCCCCACCCCACACCCCUACCCAUGUACCCCUGCCUCUUUUGAGAAUAUAUAUAUAUACACGCACACCACACUCUCAAUUGGAGGAAUCACCAUCACUCUCGGUGGGAAACACACACACUCCAUUUUUUCUUCACAACAUAGAACACACACCACUACAAUACACAGAUAUAUACAGAGACUCCUCUAUUUUCUUCUCAUUAAUAGAUCUCACUAGAAUUCUCACACACACCAUCACACAGCAAAUACUCACUCACCCCCAUAAUACACAUACAGACUCUCCACAGAAUAAUUCACACACACAAUAAUUUAUCCUCACAGAUUAUAUUUUUCCAUGGAUUAACAUCUACACGUAGAAACGCAAAACACAUAAUCACAUAUAGUAGAACACAUACACAUACAAAACUAGGCACACGCAGAUAAACGCAUAAGAGAGAUCGAGAGGAGAGGGAUUGAGUGGGAAACAUUAAAGAAUUAGAGCAGAAAGCAGAGAGAGAGAAACGGGAUAUGAAAGAAGAUCACACUACUUUGAAUUUUUGAUGAAAUUUUGUUGGAACCACUGUUCCACCCUUAAAUUCGACACAUCCAUCUUGCCGGAAACCUCAUUCUCUCGUUAAAAAUUUCCCAUCCCUACAACUCAAUCAAAAUUAUCUUUAACGAACUUCAAAUCCCAUCGAAAAACUAAACUCGGCCAAAAUCCAACAAGAACAUUUACCCCAUCCCUUUUUACUAUUCAUUGGAAAUCCAUCAGAAAAUGACAUGGGAUGGGUGCUGGUCUUCUUAUCUAGUGAUUUUUCAUUCAGUUUUAGCAAGGCAAAGUAAAGGGAAUUAGAUCAAAGAUUGAUUUAUUUGUUUGGUUGAGGCUCGGUUUGAUAUUUCAAUUGCAGGUUUAAUUGGAAGGAGUACUUACACUUGAAAACAUCAAAUUGAGGUCCAAUUAUGUUCUUUCCCUCUUUUUAUUUCAUCGCUUAUUAUAUUUGAUGCAUAGGAUUGAACAUUGUUUGUUGGGUUGAUCUCAGAUGCUAUUGGAUAACUGCUUGUGUUGAUGCAUUGUUGAUUUACUUGAUUGGUGGAUUGCAUAUUGAAUUGGUUUAAUCAUGUUGAGAAUGAAUUUAGGGGUGAGAAUUGAAAACAGAUAAAAAUAAACAUGAUUAGUUUGUAUUGAUUAAUUGAUGUUUGUUUGAUGCAAAAUAGGCGUCGAAUUUGCUGAAUUUGAUAAUAUCAUGCUUUAGAUCAAAACUAGUAGACAAAUGCUAGGUCGGGUAGGCAAAAUUUAGGAAUGGUGUUUUGUCGAAUGUUUGAAUGUGUGUGUGAAUGGUUCUUUCUAUUUUAUCGCAUAAGACUUGAAAUUGUAUUCCCCGAGAUCAUAUUGUACUUAUUCACCGGGGGAAUGCCCCAAAGUGUCAUGUACGCAAAGGUGGAUCAUGAUCAAGGAUCGAGUCAUCGGGUAAAGCAUAGUUAGGAUAGUUAGAAUAGUUUAGGUUUUAAUUUCAGCAUUUUUUAUUCUCGAUUUGUAAUAAAUUGGACUGGACAUUAUAUUUUUGGACUUGUUUCAUUUUUAUUUGUUUGAUUGAUUGUUAUGUGUUUUAUGUGGUUUGUACAUUCAUAGUGUCGUACUAGCCGAUAUACUCUAUGAAGCAACCGUGGUAGAACCACGGGACCGAGGGAUGCCUAAUACCUUCCCCUCGGUCAAUAAAACUCCUUAAUUGAAAUCUCUGUUCGUGGAUCAAUUUUAAAGAGUCAAAAUUAUUUUGAAAAAGGAUAUCAAAAGGUGACUUGGCAUACACGAUUUAUGUCAAGUGGUGACUCUGAGUUUUGAAUAUAAACAAUCCUUUUCGAAAGAAAUUAUUUUCUUUUGUCACUUAAUAAUAAAACCCUUUUCAAACUUUAAAAUUAAUCUUUUUGGUUAAAAAAGAGGUGUGAUACCUUUCUUGGAAUAUGGAUGGUAUUUCCUUAUUGCAAUUGUUGUUGUUGUAUUUCCUUAUUUCAUUUUUGUGCCAAGCAGAAAAAAUGGGUAAUGCCCUACCAAAAAUAGUACUUGUUAGGUUAGAACUAAAUAUUAACACACGUGUUUAGAAUCUGCAACCAAAGAAAAAAAAUUCUCCACUAAUAAUUGUGAUAGCUUGGUUCCUAAUGGGAAGCAUUUUGGAAAGGAAUUCGGGUUUCUCGCCUAUUUGUUGGAAAGGAAAACUAAUAUCGACCAGUGUGGUGAGAUGUAAACUUCAUGUGGUAAUAUGUAAAAUAGAAGAAUUUUAUAUUGGGAAAGCACAUAUUUUUUUAUGAGGUUUGGAAAACGUAUUAUUUGGGAAAGUAGAAUGCAGAUAUUUAUUUGUUUCAGGGUGUAGGAGGUUUCUAUUGCUGUUUCCUCUUUAUUCAUGACCUGAGGUCAACCACUAUUUGUUUGGUUGAGCUAUAAACUACUAGAAAUGGGCUUGAUUUUUAGGAUCUUCAUUCUGAAUGAUUAAGACCGUUUGCGCAUAUAGUAGUGUUGUUAUAUGUGUUUCCCCUCCAAAGCUUGAGAAGAUUGGAGGUUCUGAUUAUGGUUAAGGUGAAUAAGUACCUGCACUUUAUCAGACAUUUCAUAUCUUUUAUAAGUUUCAUAAGCAUUUCAUGCGAUGCCUUGGUUCAAGUGGUUAACCAUUUCACAAGGUUAUCCGAAAGAUCCUGAAAGAUGAACAUUCACUUAUCUUUAGUGCAGCUAUGGAGCAAUGACCCAUGAGACUAAGCCAUGCAUGGAAAGGCAAUGCAAACUGACAGCAAAUGGACAGAAAAACAUAUUUCUCCCACUUCGAGCUGGAUUACGAUGGUAAAAGGAAUUGUUGGAAUGAUUACGAUACUGCUUCUUAUGCCCAUGACAUUGAACGAUAUGAAGCACGGGACGAAGCAAGACGGAAAUACCUCAAGGAGAAACAACUUAGAAAAUUGAAAGGGAAAAAUUCCAUUACUUCUUUUUUGGAUUAUUUGUCCCUGAUUUGAAGGUCUAUCAAACACAACCUCUUUAUUAAGGUAGGCAUAAGGUAUGACACACAUUACCAUCUUCAGACUCUACUUUCUAAGACGACACUGGGUGUGCUAUUGUUGUUUUGUUGCUGCAGUUGGUCUUUCUGAUGUGGUUCCUAGUUUAUCGAGUUUUACAUGUUGGUUCCUAUGUAAAGCUUAUUCUUGUUGUUAGCAAUUUGUAGAAGCAAAUCGCCUUCAACCCAAUACGCAUCAGUUGGAGUAGUACUGAGACAUCACGGAUGAAUGAUAUUUCAACUUCUGACAUUAGAGAGUGGAUUUUGUAUCCCUUUACUGCUCAGUCUCUAUCCAUCUUGGAUGAAUGACAUUUCAACUUCUCUGACAUUAGGGGUGAAUUUUGAAUCCCUUUCUUUACUGCUUAGUCUCUAUCUUUACCUGUCGUGCUAUAUGUUGAUAUAGCAUAUCAUGAACUAUGUUAUUACAUACCUAAAAGACGUUUCACAAUCAAUGUUACAAAUUUAUGAAUAAUCAAAUGUCUAAACAUUUGCAAAUAUAAGGGGCAUGAUAUGUUAGUUGUUCACUGCAGACCGACAUACUCUUGAUUUGAAGCUCUGUUCAUCAUGCAAGUACUCGUCAAGGCCUGAGAUUAUGUCGUUGCUUUGGAAAUAGAAGAGAGCAUAAAAUGUUUCCCUUGAUCAGAUGAAAAAUGAUGGGCAAAAGUGAUAAUAUAAGCAUAUGCAUUUUGACAAGUUAGGUCUCGCCGGGUGAAGACUCAUGAAGAUUCCAAAAUACAUAAGUUUCUAUAACAUCCAAUCCUCCGUCUUUUGCCUUCUGUUUUACCCCCUCCCAAUUUUGUCCAUUGUUAAAAAAAACCCCACCCCCACCCCACCCCCAAAAAAAAAAGAUAUAUUGAAAACUUUGAAAAAGAAAAUGUCAUACAUCAGGGGUGCUUCUGGGGUAAUGAAUGGAACCAAAAAAAGGAAUUUUUCUUUGGCCAUUGACAAUGAGAGACUUCUUGUCAUAAUUGACACUACAAUAACCAAUUUUUGACACACAAAUCAACACAAAAAAAUUGCAAGAAUCAUUUGGUACUAGCCUAAAGAAAAAUUGGAAGUAGAUGCAACAUGCUAACGUCACAUAUUUUCUGCUGGAGUCAAUAGGGACGUUUGAUAGGAUUGUAUGCUAUUAACCCAUUUAAUCAUGUUGAAUGGAAUUCAAUCAUAUGUCUGGCCUUUCUAUUUCACAUUUCAUUCUCUCUCAGGGAUUAAUACCAUUAAUUUAAAAAAUGAACGUCGCAAGCUUUUAUAAAACAAUUAAAAAUGAUUUAAGUGACAAAAAAGCAAAUAUAAGCAAUGUUGUUCUUCAAAAUUCAAAUAAGACAUAUUGUAAUCCAAAAUGUUAGACAUAUAUAUAUAUAUAUAUAUAUAUAUUCUUUUCCUUUAGAAAUAUCUCCUUGACUUCCUAAGAAUUCAACUCCUACAUAUCUCACUAUGUGAUCUAUUUCUGCAUGAGUUGAUUUGUUAAAAUGCUCUAUAACUUCUAUUUUGAAUACUUUUUCAGCUUCCUCUGAUAUUCUUCUAAACCAAUUGUCUACCUUUCCAGUAAAGGUGCUUGUGGCUAUUAAGUAUUUUUCAUCAGUUGAAUUCUUCUUGAAAUUUCUUCGUUUUUUAAAGUACCUUUCUCUCGGUACAUAAUUUUUCUUGAAAAUUUUUUUCCUUUUAAUUAAUCCUUUGGUUUUUCUUUUUCUUUUUAAAGAAUUUCUUUCAUGACAUCCCUAUUGAGAUGCUGCUUCUGUGUCUUCAAUAUAUAUAUAUUCCACAAAACUCACCAUAAAUUUUGAGCAAUGAAAUGUGAUGAAUAAAAAGUAUUUUAUUUAUAAGAUAAAACUAACUUGGUCAGUAACUAACCGUACAUUUUUUGUAAAGAUAAAAGUCAGUCAAGCACACCAUCUGUUCUGUCGACUCUUCCAGUUGCUGCCUAAUCUAUGGGAAGAAAAAUACCAUGCAUAUCAUGUCACUUUUACACCCCAAAAGGUAAGAAAAUUUAGGUUAUGUGCUCAAUCAUGUCAGAUUGAGCUCGAAUCCUCCCUGGAUGAUAACAUUUACAAAUCUCCCCAUGCUCGUAAGGAACAUAACAACCAGAAGAAGAAAAUGGCAUAUUAGUAAAACUAUUUGGUAACGUAGGAGAUGAAUGUUCCAUAUAGAACCUAAUUAAGGCCAUUCUCAGAAAGAACAUAAGCACAACUGCUCCCAGAUUUGAAAAAGUCCGAUAAACCAUGAAACUCAAACAAACAAAAAAGAAACAAUUUUACCAAUAAGCUAUCAGAUUAUAAAAUUUGGAUAACCAUCUUUAAACAAAAUGUAGAUUUCAAAGAAUAGAUAAAAACACAAACAUCCAAUAGUAUGGUGUAAAAUUCUAUUAGUUCCAUAUUCAUUAGUAUUAGGACCUCCUACAAUUCAUAUGGAGGUUCUCACUAUAAGCACCAGCAACUGCACUAAUCAUACUGAUUCCACCCACAGUGAAUAUCACAACACACAUCGACGCCUCAAGCCCUCACAUAAUCUUUUAAUGUAUAAGAGAUUAAAGAUUAUAUAUAUAUACUAGUUUAGGUGUACGUGUCUUGCGCGUUACUUUAAUCACUUCAAACAUUAUACUAAAUAAGAUAUUUAUUUAAAUAAUAAAGAUAAAUAUAAUUGUAGACAUCUAAAAUUUGUGAGACUUUACAAAAAAAAAUCUAAAUUCUGUUAGAGUUCUUAAAGUCUAGUUUACUCUAAAUCCUGAAUUAUGCAUAUAUAAAGGGCAAAUAUUCCCUUAAGAAGGCAUCUCUUGUAUCCCACAAAUUCACGGGAUAUUUACAAAGAGAUCAACGAUCUUCAAAGUCCCAAUAAAUUCAUGGGAUAUUUAUAGAUCAAAACUUUUUCUUCUUGAUAAUCAAAUACAUCAAGAAGAUCCAAAAAAAACCUCCUUUCAUGGAGAUCAAAUCCAAAUAUUUCUACGUUCGAGAAAUACGCCACUAACGACCCUCGAAUUAUGUAGAAAUCCAUAUCAAAUCCUAAAUUCGAGAAAUACGCUACUGACAACCCUCGAAUUAUGGAGAAGAUCAAAUCCAAAUAUUCCUACGUUCGAAAAAUAUGCCACUAACGGCCCUCGAAUUAUGAAGAAAAUCAUGAGAGAAGAAUCAAGGGAGGAACAGAUUUGUAUCCCCAUCGUUUAUCAAUAAAACUGUUGUUUCUUCAUAUUUUUAUUUGUGGUUGAAGUUUAUUUUCCAUGAAUUAAAUUAUGUUGAAAACAAUAAUAAUUAAAUUUAAUAUCUUUUGAGUAUGUAAAAGAUGAAGAAUUUAUUUAUUAAGCCUAACCUUUACCAAAAAUAUUUUUAAAAGUCGAUCGGCAUUCAUCUACUAUCUGUAAAUUGUAACAAAACAAUACAAUGAUAGAGACAUCAAAAUUAUACAAUUAAAUCUAGUAUUUAUACACAAACAUUUUCUCAAAAUUGUCUGACACUCAUCUACCACCUGUAAACAGUAACAAAACAAUACAAUAAUAAAAAUAUCAAAAUAAUACAACUAAACAUAACCUUUACAUAAAAAGAUUCCUCAAAGCUGACCAACAUUUAUCUAUUACCUGUAAACUGCAACAAAAUAAUACGAUAAAAGUGAUAUCAAAAUAAUAUAAUUAAAUUUAAAUUUUACACACAAAAAUUUAUCAAAGUCGAUCGAGAUUCAUCUACGAACUGUAAACUACCACAAAAUAACAAACUAAUAGAGAUAUUAUGAUAAUACAAUUAUAUAUAUAUANNNNNNNNNNNNNNNNNNNNNNNNNNNNGCACCCCCCACCCCCAGCACCCGCCUCUCCUGCGCCCUUCUUCUUCAUAUCCCCCCUCCUCCUCCAGCAUCCCCCACCCCACCCCACCCACUUUUUCUUGACUAUUUUCCCUCACCCGCUCCCCCCACCCUUUCUUUAUUCCAUUUCAACCUCCAUCUCUGUCAUGAAAAAUGUUUUUUCCUCCAUGCUUUUUUUAAUUACUCCAUUAAAAUCAUUAGAUAACAACUAUGAAAACACCAAUUUAAGAUAAUUCCUCCAUUAAAACAUUAUUUCAAUCCAUUCUUCUUAAACUUUUUCUUAAAGUAAUACUAGUAGUUUAUAGUGAGCAAUGAUUAGAGUAAUUAUGAUAAUGAUUGAAGUAAUCAUUAUAAUGGUUGGGAGGAUAAAUACAAUUGUUUAGUAAUGAUUUUCGUAGUUACAGCAGUUGUGUUUGAUUUUAGUUUGGAAUUUUCUUAUGGCCAUCACAUUAUGAUUUUGAUAUUUUGGUAAUGGUUAAAGAAAAUGGGUAUGAUUGUUUGAUGAUGUAUCGGAGAAGAAAAUGGUGUGGGGUGUGGGUAUGGGGUGCAGGGUAGGAAUGAGAGGUGAGGAAGGGUGGAGAGCAUUGAAGAAGAAAAGGUUGAUUUAUAUAUAUAUAUAUAUAUAUAUGUGUGUGUAUGUGUGUGUAUGUGUGUAUGAAAUUUGAUGAAAUAUAUAAUUUUUUAAAUAGUAAACGCGCUCCUUUUUUUAAAAAUGUCACGUCAGCAUUGGGGAUGAAACAAAUACACUUUAAAGAUGUUAAGGGGGUAAAUAAACGAAAGCUUAGUUUAAGUGAUAAAGUAAGUUGAGGGGACAAGUUCAGGAGAAAUUCAUGUCUUUUCUCAUAUGUAUCAUUGUUAUAUAUAGUUUUUUUCUUUUGUUAAAAACUGUAUUUAGUAUCGAAUUGUCGUUUAUAUCAUGGUACCCAAAAAAAGAAAACACGAAAAAUAGAGGAAAUUGGACAAAUAACACAAAAAAAUUGCAUUGAAUAAUGUAUGAUAUCAAUUCUCAUAAAGUAAAAACAUAGAAAGCGUAAACGAACAAAUAAACCAACCUAAGCAAAUGGUCCUAACUUCUACGAAUAAACGAAUGCAUUGCCACAAAAAUAAAUAAAAAGACUUCAAGUCUUCUCUACUCCUCUGAAGAAGCACUGAAAUCAAUUCCACAAGUGUGAACAUCAUUAUGAUCUGAAGAAGAAUCUGAAGUGUGACCAUGAUUAUGACCAUGAUGAGGAUGACGACCAUGACCACGACCAACAACUUUUGGUUUGAAGCAACCAAAAAGAGAACUUCCAUAGCGCACCCGAACAGCCUGAAUAAUGAGAAAUUAAUAUAAAUAAUCAAAUUAUGUAAAACUUCAACUUUGGAAUAGGUUGUGCAUAAAUUAAGACAGAGAGAGUAAAACUCUUAGGUUGUGCAUGAUAGUACGUAAAGUAAAUUACCUUUUUGGACUUUUUAUCCUCGCCAGAGCUGGAGCCGUCGUCAAGUUUGUGCUCGUAAGUGAGGAGCUCCGCCUUCUGAUUGGUUGUUCUUUCCACUAUCUUCCUGAGCCUGGAGAUGUUUGCAAUACUCCCUGUCACCAUUAUUUUUCCAGUAUUGUAAUCCGCAUUCACAUCUUUCACACCUUCGUUAUGAAUGAUAUAAUCAGUGGCAGAAUUAAAAUUUUGACAUUCAAAGUAUCAAAAAGUAAAUACAAAAAAAUGUCAAAAGAGGUUCAACUCCUCCAUGCAUGUACAAAAGAAAAGAAAAAUUCGAGCAUGCAUGAAUAGUGGAGUAUAAUUUUCCAGGAAAAGAAUUUAAAUGAACCUCUUGACUGCCCUGAUAAUUAGGUGAAUUUGAUCAUGAAAUUUUUUAUUUUUUUCAAACUUAAACUCCAGAAAACACAUCCAGUGGUAAAAUUUCAAAAACGAUAUAAUAUUGUUUCAAACUCUAAACUACUCAUAAAAUUUUAAAAAGCUAUCCUAAUUUAUUUCUUGAUCAAACAAGACUGCAAUGUCCGAAUAUAAUUUUUCACCUAAAAAAAGACUAUUUUCAAUUUUUACAAAGAAACAUCGUUAAACGCCAACUAAAUUUCAAGCCCAAGUCCUUGCUCCUACUGUUUUCUAAACUGAAAUCUAAAAAUUUCUUGUUAACUAAUUUACACAUAAUGAUGUUUAAUUAAUUAAAAUGAAUUACCUUUAAAUUGACGAAUGAAUUGCUCAACUUCUCUAGCAUGUUCUUCACCAUGCAAAUCUUGUUGAAACACACCAGUGGUGAUGGUCUUCAUUUGAAAUUUGAAGAAAUUUGAGAAUUCUUCGAAGCAAAAUUAUUGGAAGGAAUUAAUUAAAAAGUAUGUGUAGAAAAAAUAAUAGGACAAUGAGGUGAAUAUAUAGAAAUUGGGUUUUGUCGGACUUCCCUAGUUUGGUGACAUGGAGAAGUUUUUAACUACCAUAUUUAACAAAAAAAAAAAAUAACCAUAAAUAUAUUGAAUAUUAUAAAGUAAUUAUAGUCAAAAUUAGACUUUUAAAAUAUUAUUAAUAAAAAAAAAUUUUGGUUAAAUAUAUAUAUAUAUAUAUAUAUUCCUAAUAAAAGUUUUUUUAAAAAGUAUGACAUAUUAAUAAGGAUCAAAUAAAAUAGAACGAUCAAAUACAAAUUUUGGGAAAUUUGCCUACAUAGAAUUGUUUGUUUUUACCUUUUACCUUUGUUUUAAGGAAUUUGUCCAAAAAUAGCUCACCAUAACACUACACUUGGCAGAAUGAAAAAUUACCUUUUUUACAAGUUUUGUUAACCUUCCAGAAUUUUAGUUCAGUCUUCGUUUUGCUUGUUUCAUUAAAUUAUUUACAAGUCUAACGAAAUCUUGCCUUGCUAAAUUGUGCAUGGUCAUAACUUAUGUAUAGAUGCAUAUUUAAAAUUUGAAAUUUAUGAGUUUUUAUAACGACUUUAAAUAACUAUAUAAAAAUAUCUAGGUUCACAAUCACAUAUUUUAGAAAACUAUUAUUCAUAGUCGUAGGCUGCUGAUUUUAUACACAGAAAGACGCAACAAAAUAAAUCAAAAAGUUGGAACGACUAACUAAGAUAACUCCUAAAAAAAUAGGAAACAAAUUCACGAUAAAAUACUCUCCUAAAGACUAGGACAAAGCUGGAAAUAGACUAGAAAUAGGACUUCAUUUGCUGACUUUAUUUGCUAACACUCUCCCUUACACUGAAAGCUCUCAAGCUCCAGGUUAACAGUAGCUAGUUGAAUUCUUCCAUCGUGCCAAUACCCAUCGACCUCCUCAGCUUUUGGAAAGGGAGAAACCUGAGAGGUUUAGUAAGAAUGUCUGCCAACUGAUCUUCACUUCGGCAAUACUGAAGCUCUAUUGUUCCUUCAUUGUUGAGAUCUCGCAGGAAAUAAUACUUCACAUCAAUGUGCUUUCUUCUUCCAUGGUUCACAGAAUUCUUUGACAACUUGAUUGCGGAAUUGUUGUCACAAAAUAUCAUAGUAGCACUUCCCAUCUUGAAUUGCAACUCUUUAAGGAUUCUCCUAAGCCAAAUAGCUUGACAAGCACAAGCUGUAGCAGCUACAAAUUCAGCUUCUGUACUUGAUAAUGUGACAACUGUUUGCUUUUUGGAAGACCACGAUACAACCAUUGUGCCUAGCAUAAAGACAUAAGCUGAAGUGCUCUUUCUACUAUCUUGAUCUCCUGCAUAAUCGCUAUCAGUAAAGCCAAUCAAAUCUGCCUUUUCUCCCUUCGUGUAGAAAAUUCCAAAAUCUUUGGUUCCUUGUAAGUAAUGAAGAAUUCUCUUCACAGCUAAGAGAUGCAUUUCAGUUGGGCACUCCAUAUAUCUACUUACAAGACUAACAGCAGACAUGAUGUCUGGUCUUGUAGCAGUUAGGUACAUUAGACUACCCACAAUUUGCUUGUAAAAAGUGUUAUCCUCUUCUUUCCGCUCCCAAUUUUGGUUAGUUUCAAGCCAAACUCUACUGGAAUGUUGGUUGGAUUGCAAUGUUGUAUCUUAAACCUAUUUAAAAUUUCUCUCACGUACUUCUUUUGGGAAACAAGUAUUCCAUCAUCAGAUUGCACUACUUCUUAACCAAGAAAGUAAUGCAUCUUACCAAGAUCAGACAUCUCAAAUUCAUCCAUCAUACACUUCUUGAAAUCAGAAAACAUGUCACUAUUAUUCCCCAUGAAGAUGAGAUCAUCGACAUAUAAACACGCAAUGAGCAUUUUCCCAUUCUCCCCAAUUUUCACAAAAAGUGUAGGCUCAUAUGGACACUUUUGAAAACCCAUUUUUUGAAAAUAAGCCUCAAUGCGACUAUACCAAGCCCGUGGGGCUUGUUUUAGUCCAUAAAGAACUUUCUUUAAUCGAUAAACUUUAGGCUCACUUCCAAUCUUAACAUAACCAUGGGGUUGUUCGAUAAAUACCUCUUAAGCCAAGUAUCCGUGUAGAAAUGCUUAUUUGACAUCCAAUUGAAAGAUCGGCCACAAAUUUUGUGCUGCCAAGGCAAUUAGCAUUCUAAUAGUGUCAUGCCUUACCACUGGAGCAAAAAUUUCAGUAUAAUCCAUACCAUACUCUUUCUUGUAUCCCUUAGCCACCAAUCGCGCCUUAUACUUGUCGAUUUCGCCAUUUUCUUUCAGUUUUAUCUUAUAGACCCACUUAACACCAAUAAUCUUGUGUUUCUCAGGAAGAUCAAUAAGUUCCCAAGUAUCAUUCCUUUCAAUAGCUUUAAUUUCAUCAUUCAUCGCCUUUCUUCAUUUUUCUUCUCUAACAGCACUCUAAAAAAUAAUCGGGUCACAAUCUGCAAACAAUGUAAAAUGGUUAACCGCAUCAUUAUUUGCAUUAAUUCCUGUUACCUCAUAGUCCAUCAUCCAUGCGGGCUUUUUGCGGGCACAACGAAGAGACUGAACUGCUGCAUCAGUUUCUUCUAAAGCUAUUGGUAAAGUUUCAGCAGUUGGUGAACUUUCAGAAAGAGUUGGUAAAAUUUCAGCAGCCGUAGGAGUUGAAUUCACUGCACUUUUGGGUAUUACAUCUACUUCUUCGGCUCCUGUAUCAAAUAUGAUUAGAGUAGACUGCUGCAUACUCCAAUCCCAAGUGUUUUCUUCAUAAAAAAUAACAUCUCUACUGAUUACAAUCUUCUUCAUCAGUGGAUUAAGCAAUUUAUAUGCCUUUGAUGCUUCACUAACACCUAGAAAGAUACAUUUUUCUCUUUUGUCAUCAAGCUUCUUCCUCUUCUCAUCUGGAAUAUGCGCAUAGGCAAUGCAACCGAAAAUUUGAAAGUGGUCCACAGUUGGUUUUCUUCCACUCCAAACUUCCUCCGGAGUCAUGUUUUGAACAGCAAAUGUUGGACUUCUAUUUAAUACAUGAAUGCUCCAAUUUACCGCUUCUGGCCAGAAAGUCUUUUCCAUUUUUCCUUUGGCCAGCAAACUCCGCACCAUAUUGAGAAUGGUUCUAUUCUUCCUCUCCGAUACACUAUUUUGCUGUGGUGUAUAAGCAGCGGUGAGCUCUCUUCGAAUUCCACUAAAUUCACAAAAAUCUUCAAAGAGUUUUGAGCAAUACUCUCCCCACAAUCAGUUCGAAGAGUCUUUAUGACCCUUCCAAUUUCAUUUUCUACGUGAGUUUUGAAGCUUUUAAAUGCUCCAAAAGCUUAUGAUUUUUCUUGUAAAAAAUACACCAAAGUUUUUAGAGAAUAGUCAUCCGUAAAGGUAAUGAAAUAUCUUUUACCUCUAUUAGAAAUUGGUUUAAUUGGGCCACAGAUGUCGGAAUGCACCAGCUCCAAAAUAUCCUUUGCUCUCCACGACUUCCCUUUUGAAAAUUGAGAACGAUGUUGUUUGCCAACAACACAUUCUUCACAAACUUGGGAAGGGAUGAUGAUUUCUGGAAGACCGAUCACCAUAUUUUUCUGUUGGAGAGUUUUUAAUCCACCAAAACUCAAGUGACCAUAUCUAAAAUGCCACAUCCAUGAGGGAUCUUUUAUUUCCGCCUUUAAACAAGACUGAAUACUCUCAAUAUUUAAGGAAAAUAACCUCUUUGAAUUCAUUUUCGCAACAGCACUAGCUACUCUAGUAGGACUAUAAAUCUCACUAACAUCUUUCCCGAUGAAAAUAGAAUAUCCUUUUUCUUGCAAUUGUCCAACACUCAAUAAGUUGUUUUUUAAAGCUGGAACAUAAAGCACAUUUGAUAUUAUUUCUUCAAAACCAUUCUUGGCUUUAAUUUUAAUAUCACCUUUUCCCAUUGCAUCCACAGUAGAGCAAUCACCAAAACUAACUUUAGAACGAAAGCCUUCAUUUAAAGAAGAAAAACAAGACUUACUCCCACUCAUGUGAUUACUGUAGCCUGUGUCCAGAUACCAAACAUCUUGCACGGGUAUUUUUCUGUGCCUAUUGCCAUCAACAAGGUCUCGGUUUUGUUGUUUUCAACAAAAUUUAACUUCUCACCCUUGUCACUAGGCAGCCUAGUGUAGCACUCAGACGGAUAAUGAUCAAAUUUAUGACAUCGAUAGCAUUCGACUUUUGAUUUAUCAAACUUUUUCCCCCUGCCUUUGCCAUCAUCAUUGGCUCUAAAAUUUCUGCCGCCAUCUCUAUUUCCUCUAUCUUCUCUCCUUCUUCCUCUACCUCUACCUCUACCCCUUCCUCUAGAAUUGGAAGGAACAAAAGUAGAAGCCUUCAAGGCUUGCUCCACAAAAGUUGAACUGCAGUUCAUCUUCUGUUCAUGCACUAAUAGGAAGCUUUGUAAUUCAUCCAGCGAUAACUCAUCUAUAUCUUUUGAUUCCUCAAUGGAGCAAACUACAUAAUCAUACUUCGACGUCAAAGAGCACAAUAUUUUCUCAACAAUUGUGACAUCAGUCAUCUUCUCGCCAUGGAGUCGCAUUUUGUUGUUGAUCUUCAUUGUUCUUGCUCAAUAACUUAAUACGAACUCUCCUUCCUUCAUCUACAGAGUCUCGAAAUCCCUUCUCAAGGCUUGAAGCUAUGCACGCUUCACUCUAGCAGUGCCUUGAUAUUUCUUUUUCAUGGAGUCCCAAAUAUCCUUAGAAGUUUCUUUGCAAAGAAUAGUUUCUAGGAUGGGACGAUUGAUAGCCUGAAAGAGAUAAUUCUUUGCUUUCAAAUCUUUCAGUUUUUUAACUUCCAACUCUGUUUUUUGAGCAUUCGUCAAAAUUUCACCUACUGUCGGAGUAUCGAUGCCAUCCUCCACAAUUGGCCAAUACUCUUUUGACCGUAAGAAAUUCUCCAUCAGCAUGCUCCAAUGGUCAUAGUGACCAUCAAAGCGAGGAAUUGUUGUUUGUACGAAAUUACUGUCCUGAUGCCAUGAGUGUCACAGAAUAGAGAAGAGAGGUUUAGCUGUUGCUAUAUUUUUUUCUUUACUGCAGGAUCUCACGCUCUCUCUGAUACCACUGUAAACAGAUGUGAAACAGAGAAGUAUAUGCAGAAAUUUUUAAGACUAAAGAUAGAGUCAAUACACUGAAUUUAAUGAAACUAUCUUGACUGUUAUUCAUAGUCGUAGGCUACUGAUUUUAUACACAAAAAGACGCGACAAAAUAAACCAAAAAGCUGAAAUGACUAACUAAGAUAACUCCUAAAAAAUAGGAAACAAAUUCACGAUAAACUACUCUCCUAAAGACUAGGACAAAGCUGGAAAUAGAUUGAAAAUAGGACUUUAUUCACUGACUUUAUUUGCUAACAAGCAUGAUAUAAGGACAGGUAAGCAAAUAACAUAAUAAAGCACGAAAAAUCCUAAACUAAGCAUGUUAAGGCUAAAUCUAAAUUCAUGAGGGUCCCCAGCAGAGUCGUCAUUCUUUCGCGCCCUAUUUCAAAUCGAUCGAAAUAGCACACAACAUAUGGUAACGUGUGUCAUGACUCUUGGGUUUUAAAAAAAUUCAUUCAUUUUUUUAGAGUUGUCACCUAACUUUUAGGAAAAUUAGGAAUAAUUAUUUUAUGUAAAAAAAACUUUUUUUUUAGAUUUUGGGUAAGGAUUUUGGUUACCCAGGGAGAAGGUGUUAGGCACACCUCAAAGUCUAUCCAAAGAUAGUCCUUACACUCAGUUUAGAAAAAUAUUUAUAAAAAAUUUAUUUCGUUAUUUGCUAAAAUGAUGAUAAAAUACUUUUAUUAUUUUGAGAGAGGAAGGCUCGAGGUAUAUAACAUACUCCAAUAUAAUAUACAGAAUGUAUAUGCGUAUCAAGAUAUAAAAAUAGGAAAAAGGAAAUCUAGAAAGUGAUAUGUAUAUGUUGAGUGGGAAAAUAAGAGAUUUAUAAUUUUACGAGAACAUAUUAUUAAUAAUGUAUAAAAUUGGGUAAAUAUAUCCUUUGAAAAAUAAAGAAAAUAUAAUCUUGAAAAUAUGAGAAAAUUUACUCGCUAAAAUAAGAUGAAAUCCUAUGAAAUCGUAAAAGGGUCACACACGUUAGCCUAUGUAUAUACAUAUAUAUUAUUUUAUUUUUUAGUGGAUUAAAAGCACAAAUAAUAGAUAAAAAUAUCACAAAUUAAAGUGGAUCGAAAUAAAUUUUCUAAAUAAUAGAUGAAACUAAAGAUAUAACAAUGAAAAGUGGAUAAAAAUAAAUAUUAUGAUAAGAUAUAAAAUGUACAAAUAUAGUUAGAAUCAAGUAUAGAUAAUAACUAAAUAAAUGACUAUAAUAGAGGUAGAAUAUACCUCAUAUAUAAUAGUGUAAAUAUAUACCUCGUGACUUUGAAAUCUGGAGAAAAUCCAAAGCGAAUGUUGAAAAAUAAAGAAAUAGAACAUUGAUAUUAUUUAAUAAAUUCCGCAAAGUCUUUAAGUUUUGGCAACUUAUUUCCCGACUAAUUUACAUUGAAAUUUUAUUAUUUUAUUAUUAAUUAAUUAAUUUAAAAACGUGGACGGUUGUUUUUUAAGAUAUCAGUAAUGAGUUUUUUCAAAAAAAAAAAAAGAACCGAUUAUGAUAAAAAAAUAUAUUUCCCUUAGUGAUAACCACGUGUUAUUUGCGAAAGAUAAAGCUACUUCUAGAAAGGAAAGAUGAAUAAUAAAGCAAACAUAAGUUCAAUAAUCCAAUAAAUUCGACAAUAAGAGUUAGUUAUUGUAAAACUGAACUCAACAUAUAUUAAACCAAAAAGAUAAGGAAUGCUAAACUCCAUUUAGAAGUUUGGAAUUUAAAUUUUAUACUCCGACGCUCUGCGAUUCUAAUUAUGGUUGACCCGAUGCUUGGGUAUCGGGUCAAAGAUGAGUUCCGUUUCGAAACUCCAACAACUCCCGAGAGUGUACAUGAAAACAAAACAAAGAAAUAAAAAACAUUAGAAAGCGGUUUAGACAAACCAGAAAUGAGUAUAUCAGGGAGGAAACAUUUCCCUUGAAAUAUAUUUUCAACCAUACAGUAGCUUAAGCACAGACCAAAUAGAAAAAAUAACAAUCAUCUCAAACUAUUUUUUUUCAUUUAACUCACUCGAUCCAAAUUAAUAAAGUUAUCUCUCCUAAGGAGGACAUGCUACCCUGGAUCUCAGUUUCAAAACUACGUAUCCAUUCAUGGUAGCUUACUGGAAGAACGGAAGUAAUACUAAUAGUCUUGAAUUUCCACGCUGAGAAAGUCCAACGACGAGAUACAAAAGUUAAGCUGGAAUACUUCUAGACUCGCACCGUUAAUAUUGUUCACGCAACCAAACAAAGGAAAGGAGAUAGCUACAGAUUACAUAUAAUUGAAUGAGGAAGAAAUACAAAACAAUAAUUCUUAUCAUGGCUAAUCGUUCAUUUAGCCUUCCGAUUUUAACUAGUCGAGGGAAGAGACAAGUUCAACUUAAUUCCAUACAAAUACACUUUGAUAACUAAAAUGGACAUUGAAGCUUAGAGGCAAGAUUCUUCUACAUAUGCAUCUCUAAUCCAAAAGACACCAUUUUCGAACUCUGUUUGAUUAAGACUCCUCUGCUUCCUUGUUUUCUAAUGCGCGCGUAUUAACAAACCUAUGAUUUUAACUUCGUGAAACUGAAAUCAUCAAACGUCAUAAUACCCGCAUUUUCAAACUCUCAUAAGAUAAACAUUUUCUUCACUACUUUUCAAAGUCAUGUUUUGGUUGUGCCUCCUGCAAUUUGUACCCAAUGCUUCACACAAACCAGUGUUUUUUUUAAAAAAAAAAUCUAAAAUUAAUAUUACUAUUAUUUUUUAAUAGAUGUCCUAAACUAGUGCACGAGGUGAUAACAACCACAUACAAGGCUUGGGGUCAUGACGUUUACACUAUAAUAAUAUCGUCAAAACAUGAAUGAAACUAAGAAUGUGCCAUCUUCAUCAUUCUUCUAGACAUCAUCUUAAUUAUUCGAGAAACAAAGACGAUCAUUAGACUAAAUGAUGUGCUUAAUUACAAUGAAAAUAUGGUCUAGUCUUUUAUAUCACUAGCCACUUCAAAGUUGUUUUACUCACUUAGUCAAGGGCAUGAAAAAAAAAAGAACUUAAUAAACAAACAAUCAGUAAUCUCUACAACAUAUGCACACUAGUGUUUCGAGUUUAAGACAGUGAGUGAGAAACUUCAUUGGGUCUGUACAUGCUAACAUUUACUAAUACUGAAUAACUAAUACUAAAUUAACAUCACUUGAAGUUAUGUAUGCAGCAUGCUCAACAAAGCAAUGGAAAAACAAACUCAAAAAUUUAUCAUUUUAUCAAGUUCUAGUAGGGGAGAUGGGUUGCGCAUGGAGUUGGUGGAGUUUGUCUGGGUAGGGUCUGCUAGAGUGGUGGUGAAGAAGAGAGAAGGGGAAAGGAGAGAGGGAGCGGCCAUUGUUGCUGCAGUGUUUUGAAAAGAUGGAAGAGAUGGGACGAUGGUCAGUGCACGCGUGACUUGUGUGAGUUGAAAGGUGUGUAUUUUGGUUUAUUGGUAGUGGAAAAAGCCGUAUUAUAGGCUGAUUUUGGUGACUAAAAUAUGAGCCGUCUCAUCAUUUGAUCAGACGGUCUAAAUUUAAUAUAAAGAUAAAAUAAAUAAUAAUAAUAAUAAUAAAUAAAUAAUUAGAAUUUUUGAGACUACUGGACCAAG